UACGUAGGGUGCGAGCGUUGUCCGGAAUUAUUGGGCGUAAAGAGCUUGUAGGCGGUCUGUCGCGUCUGCUGUGAAAAUCCGGGGCUCAACCCCGGACUUGCAGUGGGUACGGGCAGACUAGAGUGUGGUAGGGGAGACUGGAAUUCCUGGUGUAGCGGUGAAAUGCGCAGAUAUCAGGAGGAACACCGGUGGCGAAGGCGGAUCUCUGGGCCUUACCUGACGCUCAGGCACGAAAGCUAGGGGAGCGAACAGG
rnacentral:rRNA from 1 species